GCUGGAGGAUUUCCGGAGCAACAGCAGCAGCAGUAGACAGUCAGUUCCCGCUCAGUUCAGCAGCUACUUCGAGGUACCUCUUCGUCGAAGGGGAAGGAGCCGGCGCGGUAGCGGCACAUCAUGCACACACACGAGUUUCCGCACUUACGAGAUUCUCUGGGAUUUAUACUCUGAUAUUUUGAUGAUUGUAUGAUUUGACUUUUAGACAUGGCUUACGUUUUUUUAUGGUUUGAUCAAACAAUGUUUUAAACUAUUAAUGUUUUUCUAAA